CCAGUCAGCCGAGGGGUCCAGUCCUGGUGGGCUUGCGCACCCGGGGCUUCAGUUGGUGUCCUUUUAUCAUCCUUGCCCCUCCUUCAGGCGGGCACCCGAACUCGUCAGGCCAAAUAGGUGUA